GAGAGACCGUCCUGGCCUGAGGUUUGCAGCAGCAGCCCGCAGAAGGCCUUCAUCACGGGGUGAGACUGACUCACCUCGAUCUUCAGGGUUUCUGAAUGUGAAUGCGUUGCUCUGUCCAGCAGUACCUGAGUCAAACGCCUCGACGUUGCGGUUGAGGAGGCUGAUAUCCAAACGUCCCAAGUGAACUAUAUUGAAAAGGGCAGUGAUGACUAUCCUCCAAAUGCCCAGGAUCACACCAACCAUGACAUUAAUCAGGAAGAGCAUGUAGCUGAGAAGAAACAGACUCCCUCUGUAAAGAAAAGAAAAAAAAAGAAAAAAAGCACAUCCAAUCUCUGUGAAUCCUCAUACAAGCUUGAUAUAUAUAUAUAUAUAUAUAUAUAUAUAGAGAGAGAGAGAGAGAGAGAGAGAGAGAGAGAGAGAGAGAGAGAGCGAGAGAGAGAGA